GACGAACGCUGGCGGCGUGCUUAACACAUGCAAGUCGAACGCUGAAGCUCAGCUUUUGUUGGGUGGAUGAGUGGCGAACGGGUGAGUAACACGUGAGUAACCUGCCCCCUUCUUUGGGAUAACGCCCGGAAACGGGUGCUAAUACUGGAUAUUCACUGGUCUUCGCAUGGGGGUUGGUGGAAAGGGUUUUUCUGGUGGGGGAUGGGCUCGCGGCCUAUCAGCUUGUUGGUGGGGUGAUGGCCUACCAGGGCUUUGACGGGUAGCCGGCCUGAGAGGGUGACCGGUCACAUUGGGACUGAGAUACGGCCCAGACUCCUACGGGAGGCAGCAGUGGGGAAUAUUGCACAAUGGGCGCAAGCCUGAUGCAGCGACGCCGCGUGAGGGAUGGAGGCCUUCGGGUUGUGAACCUCUUUCGCUCAUGGUCAAGCCGCAACAAUGGUUGUGGUGAGGGUAGUGGGUAAAGAAGCGCCGGCUAACUACGUG
rnacentral:rRNA from 1 species